UACGUAGGGGGCAAGCGUUGUCCGGAUUUAUUGGGCGUAAAGAGCGUGUAGGCGGCCAGGUAGGUGGGUUGUGAAAACUGGAGGCUCAACCUUCAGAGGUCGACCCAAACCCCCUGGCUAGAGUCCGGAAGAGGAGAGUGGAAUUCCUGGUGUAGCGGUGAAAUGCGCAGAUAUCAGGAAGAACACCCGUGGCGAAGGCGGCUCUCUGGGACGGUACUGACGCUGAGACGCGAAAGCGUGGGGAGCGAACAGGG
rnacentral:rRNA from 1 species